UGAACACUAAGUGAAGGCUCUAGGUACAAGCUUGAUUAUUGCAUGUCCAGUGAGCUUGUUUACCAAACAUCCUGGAGAAACUGCAGAGAGUUGGAUGCCUUGAAACACUCAGUUGCACAUGGAAUGUUCCUAUCAAAUCUCUCCUCUCAAAGAUCAUGGGACUAUGCAGAAGAAGAGGAAGAAAGAUGAUAGAAGAAACCAUGGACACAGGGCCUUCUAGACACAGCAGAACUAAUACACAUAGGAACUCAGAGAUUCUGGAAGUGUACACAAUAUCUGUACAAGUCUGAGCCAAAUGGGGUCCCAGCAUCAAGAGAGGAAGUGGACAUAAGCCUCCAUCUCUAGCCCAGAAGCUAUCUCCAUUUGAUAACUACUUGAAAAGGAAAAAAUAUGCUCCCCCGCCCCCAUGGAAUCUCACUGGGUAUGCGAGUCACACUUAAGGGCAGAACCCAUGGCCAACAGAAGGUGGCCAACACAAAAUAAACUCAGUGUUAUUUUUGGAGGUCUUUUUUUUGGGUGAGUGGAAUCUCCUGAUGCUUUGUUUGAGCUUUUUAAAAACCCUACAGGUCUUUUGCUUACAUAUUAUGGUUUGUGAUUUUGUGUCUUCAUGAGCUUUCUUUGUGUGAGAAUUCAUGUCUCCGUGUCCAUGUUUUUC
rnacentral:lncRNA from 1 species